UACGGAGGGGGCGAGCGUUAUUCGGAAUUAUUGGGCGUAAAGGGCGCGUAGGCGGCUCGAUAAGUCAAAGGUGAAAUCCCUCGGCUCAACUGAGGAACUGCCUUUGAUACUGUAGAGCUUGAGUCCGGGAGGGGGUAGCGGAAUUCCCAGUGUAGCGGUGAAAUGCGUAGAUAUGCGGAGGAACACCGAUGGCGAAGGCAAUCCCCUGGGCCUGCACUGACGCUCAUGCACGAAAGCGUGGGGAGCAAACAGG
rnacentral:rRNA from 1 species